rnacentral:rRNA from 1 species
GACGAACGCUGGCGGCGUGCCUAAUACAUGCAAGUCGAGCGGACUGAAUGGGAGCUUGCUCUUGUUCGGUCAGCGGCGGACGGGUGAGUAACACGUGGGCAACCUGCCCGCAAGACCGGGAUAACUCCGGGAAACCGGAGCUAAUACCGGAUAACACCGAAGACCGCAUGGUCUUUGGGUGAAAGGCGGCGCAAGCUGCCACUUGCGGAUGGGCCCGCGGCGCAUUAGCUAGUUGGUGAGGUAACGGCUCACCAAGGCGACGAUGCGUAGCCGGCCUGAGAGGGUGAGCGGCCACCAUGGGACUGAGACACGGCCCAGACCCCUACGGGAGGCAGCAGUAGGGAAUCUUCCGCAAGGGGCGAAAGCCUGACGGAGCGACGCCGCGUGAGCGAAGAAGGCCUUCGGGUCGUAAAGCUCUGUUGUGAGGGACGAAGGAGCGCCGUUUGAAGAAGGCGGCGCGGUGACGGUACCUCACGAGGAAGCCCCGGCUAACUACGUG